UGCAGUCGAGCGGUAGAGAGGUGCUUGCACCUCUUGAGAGCGGCGGACGGGUGAGUAAUGCCUAGGAAUCUGCCUGAUAGUGGGGGAUAACGUCCGGAAACGGACGCUAAUACCGCAUACGUCCUACGGGAGAAAGCAGGGGACCUUCGGGCCUUGCGCUAUCAGAUGAGCCUAGGUCGGAUUAGCUAGUUGGUGAGGUAAAGGCUCACCAAGGCGACGAUCCGUAACUGGUCUGAGAGAUGAUCAGUCACACUGGAACUGAGACACGGUCCAGACUCCUACGGGAGGCAGCAGUGGGGAAUAUUGGACAAUGGGCGAAAGCCUGAUCCAGCCAUGCCGCGUGUGUGAAGAAGGUCUUCGGAUUGUAAAGCACUUUAAGUUGGGAGGAAGGGUCGUUACCUAAUACGUGACGAUUUUGACGUUACCGACAGAAUAAGCACCGGCUAACUCUGUGCCA
rnacentral:rRNA from 1 species